UCAUAUGUGGCGGCUGGUCAUUGAACUUACUUAAUUGUCUCUCUCUCUCUUCUCCAGGGUCUCUCGAACACUCUCGAUCUUCUCUCUGUCGAUCUUCUCUCUCGACGAUCGCUCUCUCGAUUUUUGCACUCCGUCGUCUCCGUUGUCUCUCUCGUUCGGUCCGGCUUCUUUGUCGCGUGUCUCAGUCGGUCAUCUCUCUCAUUCGGUCCGGCUUCUCCGUCCCUUCGUCUUCUGUCUCGCUCCGUCCCUGUGUAUUCUUUGUCAAUCGGUGAUCGGUUUCACUUCCACUUCCUCCCUCCGGAUUCUCUGUCAAUCGAUGUCUCUCAGAGAUAAGUGUCUUUAUUUUGCAAAGAAAUUUAUUUUUGCGAUUUGGGUUUUUGUGAAAUUGUUGUAAUCUCAUAGUUUUGUCAGCAAAGGUUGAAUCUUUAUGAGAUGUGUUUUAGAAUUUUGUGUGUGAAUGAUCGUUGUUUAGAUCAGGUUCAUGUUUUAGAAUCUUGUGUGUGUUUGAUCCUUGUUUCAUUGUUUUAUCUGAAACACUUAUCUGAUGAUUCAAACAUGAUUGAUGAGAUUGAUGAAUGUGAUCCGUAUGAAUGUGAUCCGUAUUGUGUGUUUUUCAUAAGUAAAAAAAAAUGAUAGACCAAAAGAUUUAUGGAUAGAAUUUUCUCAUACAUUUUCCUCUGUUCUUGUGUGUGUUUGAUUCGAUAUUGUUUUUUCUCAAACAUGAUUCAUGGUUCUAAUCUCACUUUUAAAUCUUUUGCUCUCUAAUAGGUUUCAAACACAGUAGCGAGCACUUCUCUGCUUGGUGGUUCUACGAGGCUGUUUUCAAGCUACUAUAGCUUCGGGUUAGGUCCUCUCAAGCUACUCAACAAAGGUGAAACAGAGAAGACUUGUGACACAAGAAGCCAAGACUCGUGAGUUGUUUCGUGACGUAAAGCUUCCAAACAGAGAAGAAUCCAAGUUGAACUCAGUCUCGUGACUUGCUUGCGUGACCUGUGACAACAAAAAGACAAAACCAUGUAAUAGAUGUAGUAAAUAGACUGUCUCGUGACUUCACUCAGAAAACAUAUUCUUUAUAAACCUUCCCGUGUUGUAAAUAGAUGUAGUUCUUCAUAAACCUCUUCUCUCUUACAAUUUCUCUUCUCUCUUUUGUUUCUUCAUAAACCGUUUCUUUGUUUGUUAAGUUAAAGAACAACCAUUUCUCUCAAA